rnacentral:lncRNA from 1 species
CGCUGAUAUUUGAGGACUUAUUUGUUACUGCAGCAUAGUCUAGCCUAUUGGCCCUCUCUGAUACGCUUCCUGCCUAGUUCCCCAGUCUCAUUGUUAUCUAUUUUCCUCUUGUAUAUUACAUCCUCAGCACUUUCGCAUUCUUCAGUUUCUCAAAUACAUUUGUCAUUUUAUACUUUGGCACUUUCGCAUAUAUUUUUCCUGCAUUGGGGAUACUCUUUCUAAUACUCUUUGGCUAAUUUGAUCUUCAAUUCUCAGAUCAUGUACCAAUUCCUCAGGCAGGUGUUCUUUGUUCUUGAUUCUAAAUCGUGUGCUUUCAUUGAUCUUCUCUUCCACAGAACACUAUUCUGUUUCCUAAUAACAAUUUGUCCAAUUGUUAAUUAUGUGUUUCGUUGUACAAUGUCUCUCUUCUCUCAUUAGUCUGCAUACACCAUAUAAGGUAAGGAAAAGAACUAUUUUGUUCAUUACUACUUACAUGACCCAAGAUAGAGACUUAAUGUAUGUAUUUAUUAAUAUUUGUUAACAACAAAAUGCAUUUGUUGUUGAAUGAAUGAACUGCUCACGUCAACCUCUUGCAUUUGCUAAGCCCCUAGAUAAAGAAUGUCUGCUAUGCAUUAUUAUGUGAAAUGUGAGGUGAAAAGUAUUUUGAGCACAGAUAAAUUAGUUAAUGUAUGUAAAUGUCGUUUGAAAGCUCUCCUGUAUAAAGCAAAUUAUCUUCACCAAUUAUAUAAAAACUAAACUGUACAAUCUUGAAGACAUGCAUAGUAAUGUCCUUUCAAUAGAUGAUGAAUAAUGAUAAUAGCUUCAUGCCAUAGAGCCUUCCCUGAACAGAGAAAAACAAAUAUAUAUGUAUCUAAUACAUAGUAUUACAUACAUAAAAUAUAUUUCAUCACUGAUUACAUGUUCAUCAUUUUAUCUGUCGUAUCAAGAGCAAUUCGAAAACACACUUUUUUAUCUUCUUUAUAUCUCCGGAAAUUGUCAUCACAGUGUUUAUCACAUAGUAGAUGCUCAAUAGGUUUUAUGAAAAAUAAAUGAAUGGUUAAAUGCAUUCAUUUUCAUCUGAUUAAUGAGUGUCUUUAUGGCUAUGAGGUGUGGUGACCUCUACACAAAUCAAAGAUAAACAAUAACACAAAUUUAAUUUUAGAACUUCAUUUUCUUUAAGUAAUGGCUCAUCUACAGGCUUCUGGUAGGAUAUGAUGAUUUAAUAGGUAAAAAUGUCAUGAGACUAAGAGGUUUCUGAGACUCUGAAUCAAGUCCAGGCAAACAUAAAUAACAAUGAAAUGAUAAUACAGUGCAUGACCUGUUUGAUAUUCUUAUUACUGCUCUGUAAAAUUCCAUGAGUAGAUUUAUACUGCAGUCAUCCCAAGCCAACAUUGACAUCUUGACAAUUGGUUUCAGUCUUUACUGUAAUUGUGUCACUCAUUAAAACAUGCAAGAUAAUGCUGCUUAAUCAGAAAACCGUUGCUUCUUUGAAAUACACGCGAGAGCUACUUUUUCCACUGCCAGAUCAGUUGCUUCUGCUAAUACAGAAAAACAGAUAUACAAUGAGACCAUUUUGAUAUAAACCUGAAGGAUUGAUUAAAAAAGGUAUUCAAUGUAGGGCCACUCUGGCUUUUGUUCCCUUGAAAAUAGAGGGAAAGUGACAUAUGUUGAACAAAACAAAAAGAAAAAUAAGAAAGUUGUCCUUAGAGUCAAAUCCAGCUUUUGAAAUAAAAGUUUAAUUAGCAAGUGUAGGACUCAAGGUGAAAAUCUAAAGCCCCAGAUUCUCAGGAGUUUCAAAGAGGGCUUUCUGUGUGUGUGUGUGUGUGUGUGUGUGUGUGUGUGUGUGUGUGUGUGUGUGUUUG